CGUGGGUAACCUGCCCAAGAGAUCGGGAUAACACCUGGAAACAGAUGCUAAUACCGGAUAACAAUAGAUGAUGCCUAUCAACUGUUUAAAAGAUGGUUCUGCUAUCACUCUUGGAUGGACCUGCGGUGCAUUAGCUAGUUGGUAGGGUAACGGCCUACCAAGGCGAUGAUGCGUAGCCGAGUUGAGAGACUGAUCGGCCACAUUGGGACUGAGACACGGCCCAAACUCCUACGGGAGGCAGCAGGU
rnacentral:rRNA from 1 species